GAUGAAGAACGUAGCGAAAUGCGAUAAGUAAUGCGAAUUGCAGAUCUCCGUGAGUCAUUGAAUCUUUGAACGCACAUUGCGCCCUCGGGUAUUCCCGAGGGCAUGCCUGUCCGAGCGUCAUUAUCCAACCAUCAAGCUCGGCUUGCGGUUGAGCCCCGCACCGUCCCCGGGACGGUGGGCUCGAAACAUGUUGGGCGCCCGUGAGGUUGUCGGUGCAGCGAGUUCUCGAGCACGUGCCGGGCAACCGCUCUGGGCGUCGGCCAGCCCCCCCAUUUUCUCAGGUUGACCUCGGAUCAGGUAGGAAUACCCGCUGAACUUAAGCAUAUCAAUAAGCGGAGGA
rnacentral:misc_RNA from 1 species